rnacentral:rRNA from 1 species
GAUGAACGCUGACAGAAUGCUUAACACAUGCAAGUCUUUGGCGAAGCUGUGCUUGCACAGCCUAGCCAAGGCGGACGGGUGAGUAACGCGUAAGGAACUUGCCCUGCAGUCAGGGAUAACAGACGGAAACGACUGAUAAGACCUGGUAAAGUCAGGCGGACUCAUGUCCAGCCUGAUGAAAAGAGAUGCUGCAGGAGAGCCUUGCGUCCUAUUAGCUUGUUGGUGGGGUAACGGCCCACCAAGGCGAUGAUAGGUAGCCGGCCUGAGAGGGUGGACGGCCACAAGGGGACUGAGAUACGGCCCUUACUCCUACGGGAGGCAGCAGUGGGGAAUAGUGGACAAUGGGGGCAACACUGAUCCAGCAAUUCUGUGUGCACGAUGAAGGUUUUCGGAGUGUAAAGUGCUUUCAGCAGGGAAGAAAAAAAUGACGGUACCUGCAGAAGAAGCGACGGCUAAAUACGUG